GGCGGCUUACCGCAGUGGUUAACGGGAUGGACUUGAAUUUUAGAACAAGAGCAAUCACAACACGUGAUUUGCGAAAUCCAUUGGGGCAACCUUCGCAGGUUCGAAUCCUGCAGCCGUCG
rfam:Ceraceosorus bombacis genome assembly, contig: Scaffold_271